UUAUUACUCCCAACAUUAUGGCGCCAUCCCACCGCGGCGCACGCUGUGCACGGCCACGCGCACGCGUGGACGUGCACGGAUUUAUUUCUUUGACUACGUGGGUCAAC